GAGUUUGAUCCUGGCUCAGGAUGAACGCUAGCGGCAGGCCUAACACAUGCAAGUCGAGGGGUAACAGGAGAAAGCUUGCUUUCUCGCUGACGACCGGCGAACGGGUGCGUAACACGUAUGUAACCUACCUAUAACAGGAGAAUAGCCUACUGAAAAGUGGAUUAAUGCUCCAUAAUAUACAUUAAAGGCAUCUUUUUUGUAUUAAGCUCCGGCGGUUAUAGAUGGACAUGCGGAACAUUAGCUUGUUGGUGAGGUAACGGCUCACCAAGGCAACGAUGUUUAGGGGGUCUUAGAGGAUGAUCCCCCACACUGGUACUGAGACACGGACCAGACUCCUACGGGAGGCAGCAGUGAGGAAUAUUGCGCAAUGGAGGAAACUCUGACGCAGCCAUGCCGCGUGCAGGAAGAAGGCCUUAUGGGUUGUAAACUGCUUUUAUAUGCCAAGAAAACCUAGUACGUGUACUAGACUGACGGUAGCAUAUGAAUAAGGAUCGGCUAACUCCGUGCCAGCAGCCGCGGUAAUACGGAGGAUCCAAGCGUUAUCCGGAUUUAUUGGGUUUAAAGGGUUCGUAGGCGGAAGAUUAAGUCAGUGGUGAAAUCCUACAGCUCAACUGUAGAACUGCCAUUGAUACUGGUUUUCUUGAGUACAAAUGAGGUGGGCGGAAUGUGGCAUGUAGCGGUGAAAUGUAUAGAUAUGCCACAGAACACCAAUUGCGAAGGCAGCUCACUAAAAUGUAACUGACGCUGAGGAACGAAAGCGUGGGGAGCGAACGGGAUUAGAUACCCCGGUAGUCCACGCCGUAAACGAUGAUCACUCGAUGUUGGCGAUAUACUGUCAGCGUCCAAGCGAAAGCGUUAAGUGAUCCACCUGGGGAGUACGGUCGCAAGAUUGAAACUCAAAGGAAUUGACGGGGGCCCGCACAAGCGGUGGAGCAUGUGGUUUAAUUCGAUGAUACGCGAGGAACCUUACCUAGGCUUAAAUGUAGAUUGACGUACUGGGAAACUAGUAUUUCUUCGGACAAUCUACAAGGUGCUGCAUGGUUGUCGUCAGCUCGUGCCGUGAGGUGUCGGGUUAAGUCCCAUAACGAGCGCAACCCCUAUCGUUAGUUGCUAACAUUUAGUUGAGGACUCUAACGAAACUGCCCGCGUAAGCGGAGAGGAAGGUGGGGAUGACGUCAAAUCAUCACGGCCCUUACGUCUAGGGCUACACACGUGCUACAAUGGUAAUUACAGAGGGAAGCAAACUGGUGACAGUGAGCCAAUCCUUAAAAAUUAUCCCAGUUCGGAUUGAAGUCUGCAACUCGACUUCAUGAAGUUGGAAUCGCUAGUAAUCGGAUAUCAGCCAUGAUCCGGUGAAUACGUUCCCGGGCCUUGUACUCACCGCCCGUC
rnacentral:rRNA from 1 species